CUGGCAACCACCCAACAUGACAAUCUCAGGCCCCCCACUCUCCCAUCUCUUUCCCCUGGAAAUGGGCCCGUAUGUUGGCCAGCCACACGAUGCAACAGCCAAGCUGCAGCUGAUGGAUGGAUCGUUUCAUCGCAUCACAUUGCCAAGAGGAGCUGAAUGGGGGCCAUCACCACCACUGUCAGAUGAGGGAAUAGUCGGAGGGCAAGAAGAUAGUGUCCGUGAAGACAGGACAUCUAGUCUGCCAUUCUGCUUUCCUGCGCUUGUUCCAAGUGCUUGGAGAAGAUUCACAUAAAAAGGUAAUGAAAGCUGAUAGGUGAGAUGGAGAAAGUUGCUGUAGAACUUCGAAGUCAAAUGACUUCCCAUCAGCGAAAACCCGGAACAUCAUCAAGAUAAAAAGAGGAAAGGCCACCCUUGGGACUUUUCAAACACAAGAUCACUACUCUCUCCAGAAGUUCGUCUUAAGGUGCCCCAACAGCCCCCAACAAGACUUCAGCAAGACCCUCAAUCAAGCAGCUCUUUUUUGAACUUUACCCCCAUCUAACAGUGAAGUCUGUGUCUCCUGUGGGGCAAGUUCCCUCUGGACCUCGUGGAAAAUUUAUUGGCAAUAAAACUCAGACCAGGACCAAGUCUGUAGCUGA